rnacentral:rRNA from 1 species
AUUGAACGCUGGCGGCAUGCCUUACACAUGCAAGUCGAACGGCAGCACGGGGCAACCUGGUGGCGAGUGGCGAACGGGUGAGUAAUGUAUCGGAACGUGCCAUUGAGUGGGGGAUAACGUAGCGAAAGUUACGCUAAUACCGCAUAUACCCUGCGGGGGAAAGCAGGGGAUCGCAAGACCUUGUGCUCUUUGAGCGGCCGAAAUCAGAGUAGCUAGUUGGUGAGGUAACGGCUAACCAAGGCGACGAUCUGUAGCGGGUCGGAGGGGAUGAUGCGCCACACUGGGACUGAGACACGGCCCAGACUCCAACGGGAGGCAGCAGUGGGGAAUUUUGGACAAUGGGCGCAAGCCUGAUCCAGCCAUGCCGCGUGAGUGAAGAAGGCCUUCGGGUUGUAAAGCUCUUUCGGCCGGGAAGAAAUCGUACAGGUUAAUACCCUGUGUGGAUGACGGUACCGGAAUAAGAAACACCGGCUAACUACGUGCCAGCCGCCGCGGUAAAAC